AUGUUGAAAUACUUAUUUUCCUCACUGUAUAUAUGUUUUCGGCUGUGGGUCUUUUUUUUGGACUUGCUGAAUAUUUGGACUUUGACAGUUAUUCUUUCUAUGUGAACGUGGACUCGUAGUUCAACUAGUCUGAGGGUCAUUUCACUAAAAUCACCUGAACAGUGUCAAAAUGACAGCAUGAGUUCCGUGCAAUUAAUGACUUAAAGGAGCAUGUUUUCUGUGCCAUCUAGUGGUCAGGUUUAGAUUGCAGUCCAUCCAAUACUUAAUGUAGUACUCAAAGAAUGUGGGUCAGAUGACAGGAGAAAUGCACGUUUAUGUGGCGCUCUGAGGUUUCUGCCGCUAACUGCAUGGAUCCGUACGUUGUUUCUCCCCCUUAUUGUGUUGUUUAGACAUGAAGUUACGAUACUGUUGUCUUCUUCACAAAACAUUUUGACACCUAAUAGAUCCUUGACAUUUGAUUGGUGUGUUUGUAUGUCAUGUGAUGUUGGUUAUUCAUCCCACAGUGUGACUGGCAUCAUUUUUGUUUUUUUGUUUGUUUUUGGGGGGGGGGGCAAUUUUGUCUUAUGCAUUUUGCACCACUGCACAACUCCGAUUAGCUUUUCAUAAGAAUGCGCUCAUGACACACGGAAGCUAACUCCACUACACUAUAAGCCAAUGAGAAGCUUACGCAGUGCUUGAGGGGACAACUCUAGCAGCCAAAGAAGCACUGUCAGCGUGUGUGGGCGGAGUCAACUGCUGUGUGGCACAGAGGUGUCUCUGCCCCACUGUUUUCAGCUUCCUGUGCCAGCAAAAAGCAACUAACUUUAUGUAAAAUAUCAAAUGACAUGGAUCUAUUUAGGUGUCAUAUUAAACAAAUAAUGAAUGUUUAUGAGUGCAGUGGAAAUGAAAAUAUUCUUAUGACUGCACUCAUAAACAUUCAUUGUUUGUAUACCACAGUGUGUUGCUUUUUUAUUUAUUUUUUUAGUAGUGUGGAAUUUGGUGUGACAUACUGAAAGAUCAGGCAUUUGUUAAUAUUAUGACUCAUGGCAAUAAUAGUAAUAAUAAUAACUAUUUAUACAGGGCUUUCUCAGUAAUCAAAGUACUAAAUAAACUACAGUAAUAAAAGAAAUAAAUGGCAGUAAUAAGUACAUGACAGCAAUGCACAAAAAUCUCAAAUUACUUGUAAAGAGCUGAUGAUAUAGAAAAAGGUGUGAUUUAUGCUCCAGUGCAACUUGUAUAUGUUUUUUUUGUCUUCAAGAGGCAUUUUCUUUUCUGGUGUGGCUUAUACUCUGGAAAAUACAGCUAUAUUUUCAACUUUGCAUAUGUCACUUCGUGUAUGUGAAAGCUACACAGUGGUAGCCAAACUGGCCAGCUUUCUAACGCUGACAUUUUAUAGUCUGAAAAGGUUAGAACUUGAGUUCUCUCAUCUACAGCGUUGUGUCUCUUUGUCAUACACGGGGACCUUUGGUGAUACGGCUGAGCUUCAGUUACUGGUUUGGUUGCAUUUUGAAACCUCAACACCAGGUGGUGUUGAAAACUCCAUCAUGCUGCCUUAGGGGACCAAAAGUAAUCUAAACUACAGUUAUCUUCUGAGCUGUUCCAUAUUCCGCUGUGUGCUGUUCUCUCGCUCGUUGUUAAAUCAGCUGAUAAAAGAUCUACAGUUCAGUUAGUCAUCUGUUAAAUUAAUCAUGAAGAAAUCUAGACUAUUAAACGGCACACUCAAAAGUGAGCAUAACAUGAAGGAAACUCACUCAUGAGGAAGGCCAACCCCGUGACCACUCUAGAGGAGUUAAAACCUUCAGUGGCUGUGAUUGGAGAGACUUGUCUGCCGCUCCAGUCACAGUCACACAGGGAACUGGAAGACAGAACGGUGGGAUUCAUUAUUUUCCUUCAACUUUGUUGGAGUCCAAAUACAUUUGUUGUCUUCACGCUAAC